AUUGAAAGCCUACUGAAUGCAGAACCUCGUCCCAGAGGCCAGGAAUACAGAGCCCGGGGUCGUGACACUCCAGAAGUCCUGAUGAGACACACAAUCCAGGAAGAAGGCAGACAGAUGAAACAAGAAAAUAUUGAUUGUGAGGCAAAUGGAGAGAGAGAAAUACAAGCAAAAACAGAAGUGAAAGAAGAGGAAGUAAAGGGAGAGGGUGAUCAUACACUGGAGUCUCUAAAAAUUAAGACCACCUCUGGGUAAAACUGUGAAGCAGAGGAAGGGAAGAAGACGGAAGAAGAAAGGAACAUGGACGGAGAAGUCCUGCUAUGCACUAGCAAGAAGAUAGAGACUUUCUACCUCUCCUCACCAGCUAGAGCUGUGACUUCAUGUCCUAAACAACAGUGAGGCUGAAGGGUACUAAUAAAUAAGCAUGGAAACUUCUAGAAGAAAGAAAUCCACUAAGGUAAAGUGAAAGAAUCAUCAUUAUGCUUUGGGAGGAGAGACAAUAGUUUUGUCUAUUCUACGAUGCAAAUGAGAAACACUGAAGUCUUCAGAAAAGUAAAAUGAUGUGACAAAAAGGAUAUUUGAGGAAUACUGUGUCUUAGGGAAAAAAGGCUAAGUCAAUUUUGCAUAGAUCCAUGUUGAUUGUUAAGAUGGCCAAGAUGAAUGGAUUGGUUGUGCCGCAGUCUGUUCGUUUGGCUCAGAUAGGCACUGCCAAGAGUAACUUGGGUACAAUUUUGCUCUAUGCUAAUUAGAGUUGGUCAAAUGGUCCUCUGAUGAAUUUCCUCCCCUAGAUAGAAUUUGAGAGGAUAUACAACAACAAAGUAAUUAUCAGAGUGCCAAUUAUCCAUAGGGGCAUCUACACUGUAUCCAGGGAUAUAGAACCUGGUCUCAAAUUCUUAGAAAUUUUGCUCCCCAACUAAUGCAACCCCAUUAAAAGUCCUCUUUUAGUGGGCACACAACCAAUAGUGCAUAUGCUGAUAGCAUUUUCACAUACAAAUCUGAUAGUUAGGCAUGCCAUUACCCAAUUUACACAUGCAAAUGCAGUAAUUGUGUGCUGUGGGUGCUCCGGAAACCUGGCACACACCCAAAAUGGAGGCCUUUUCAAAGCAUGGCCAACCCACCAAAUUCUUCUUCCACAGCAACUCUCAAUAUUGUCUUACCUUUAUUACACAAAGUUCUGUGGGGUUCUGGGAGAAAGGGUAUGUGCUUUCUGUAUUUCGCUGAAUGAUUGAAACUUUCUAUCUCUAUUUGGUUUGAACAUUUUAAAAUUCUCUUUCUUAUUCUUCAAUUAAUUGACUGUAGACUUCCUCUCCUUUGUAGUAAUUCACCAUUUCAUUUCUCUGCCUUAAAAAAUCAACUCUAAUUAGAAAGUACAAAUUCUCUCAUUAUGACUUAUUCUCAUCUAGAACUUGAAAUGGGAAUGAUUAUGGGUUGUCGUAAUAAGUGAUUUGUACUUUUAAAAGAAUGGAGAUUACUGUUUACAGCUAUGUGCACAUGAGUUUACUCCAAGAUGCAUUUGAUUAUUCUAAUUUACUGAGCUGCUACAGAAGCAGCACUUAACUAUUUCCUGUUUCUUUGUUUACAUAUUUCAAAUAUUCUGGGGCCUCUUGACUACUCAAGCAGUACAAUGCAGGCAAAGUAAUUUAAGAAAGAUAAAUAGGAUUGAGUAUAUUUGCUUUGCCAGUGUUUCUCAGAGAAGGGAAGUCUAAGAGUCUGACAUUGAUAAUGGCAAGAUUUUUAGAUUAACCAAUGAUAGCAGAUAGUAAUGAUAGCAUAACAGAGGAAAUUUUACCAAAAGUAUAGAAAUAAGGGAUAUUUUGAUAGAAAAAAUUUUAAUUGGAAAUUAUAACUCUUAUUUAUUCAUUCAGAAAAUACUUACUGUGUGGUCACUACAUUCCCUAUAUUGUUUUAGGUAUCUUUUUAAUUCUUUGCUCUUGUCUCAUCUCUCUGAACAUUCCAUUUCAUCUCUGCCUGCCCCUUAACCGAUGGGAUUCUUCAGAAUUCCAGAUUGCAGUCCUCAAUCUUCUACUCAUUUUACCAUCUCUGAAGCCUCAUCUUCAUUUCUGACCUUCAUAUCUCUUUCUCCAGACUAGAUUUCCCUUCUAAAUUCCAAAUCUGUAUUUCCAGAAGCCUUUUCGUACUCCCAUGUACAUGUUCCACAUGUACAGCAAUCUCCACAGGUUCAAAUUGGGAUUUCUAUCUUCCCCAUACUUUGUGCUAGAGUCAUCUUUGGGUCCUCUCUGUAUCUUCAAACCAUACAUCCUGCUGGUUGCUGAGUUCAGUAGUACUGCAAUUCAAAAAUGUUCCAUCUUGAAUCUUGCCUUUCCAUUCUCUUCCCACUGCCUGCCUGAGUUCAGGACACUUGCGGUAGUUUUAUAAUGUCAUCAGUCUCUCCCCUAGGCUACUCUGUUCCCUCACUCUCUCACCAGGGUUGUCUCCCUAAAGUGCAAUCUAAUUAUAUAAGGCUUUGCUUAGUGCCUUUAGUUUCCCCUCACCAUAUACAUGCUAGAGUUCAAAUUCCGCUUUCCUGUUCCAAGUCUAGUUGCAUUGCAUCUAUUUGAUGUCAGUGAAAAACCCAUCAACUUUCACACUGCAAUGUCAAUCCCCCUCUGUUGAUAUGUGCCUCCUCUUUAUUAGCAUUAUCCUUCAUUCUAUGCUUUUUUUCUCUUCAUCCUUCAAAGUCCAUCUUAAACACCCCCUCCUUUUUGAAACUGUUAUAGCACAUAUUCCAGCAACAAAACAAACUGUGCUUUCGUUUCUGCAAUGAUACUGCUUUGUAACACAUUAAUUACCUAUCAUUUUAUAUAAUGGAUGUUGAAAAAUAGUUGUCUGUCCCCGCAUUGAAUUGUAUGCUUCUUAAAUUAGGAACUGUGUUUUACUAUCAAUGUCCUCAAGUCAAAGACCACCAAGAACACACCGACAGUUAAGGUUGGGUUUAUCACUGUUUCAAAGAGGGAGGAUACCAUGGGGCAUGCUGGAGUCUUAGAAAGGACUAAUUAUAUGUAGUAUUUGGGUUUGUAUUGGGUACUGUUGGGAGUAAUUAGGAAAGCAAGGCUUUGUUUUGGGUUUGACCUGACCUGAAGUGAAGGUAAUUCUGACUGGCAAUCUUAAACAAUCUCAACUAGAAGGAGGAAUAUAUAGGCUGAAGUUAAAGCUGCAAUUGCUAAAGAAUCAGUAGUUACAUAUAUUAGCCAUGAUAGGAGAAUGCUUGGUAAAUUUUGUGGUUUAAAAAAUUUUUAUGUUUUAUUUGUGUUCAUACAUGAUUAUGGUGUGUUCUUGCUUUUGUCUUGAGCCUUCAUGGUCACAGAAGUGGCCUUGUCUGAUAUUGGCGUUCUGUGAAAUUGUUAAUGUUUAACUGGAGAACACUAGUGCCUAACUGUGAGUGCCAGUCCAGCUCCUAGCACUGCCAAAGCCUAACUGAUAGUGCCAGGCCAGUUUUGAGCUAUCAGGACCUGCUGGUCUUUUUCAGUCCUUCUUUCUGACCAAGGGAAGACAAAGACAGGUCAUGGGAUAUUAAUCUAUGAUAUUCAGAUUUUCUCCAUUACCAAGAUUUUGCUGAUCAAGAUCAGGAGGAUGUCCAGAGAAUGUAGCCUAUCCUUAUACAGGAGGUAAUCUAUCCUUUCCAUUUAUUGUAGGAUGAGUUGUUGAGUCAGACUAUGUAACAAUGGCUGUGCAGCAGCAUUUAAGACUCUGAAUAAGAUAUAUCAGAUAGCUGUAACACAUUUACCACAGAAGAAUGAUUAUUAGUCCUUGUAACAAGUCUUAAAGCCAGGACUUUAGAUUUAUAACACCUAUGCAAUGAAAAUGUGUACCAGAAUCCAACUAUGCAUGUUAUUUUUCUUAGUCAUGGGUUAUUUUACUUGCCAUGAGACAUACAUAGGUCAGGCAAAGAAAUAUUUACUCUAGGAUUCCGCCUCCUUAACUAGCUAAGGGAAAACCAAUGGUUAUUGAAUUGUCCGUGACAAUGCUGGGUAGUAAAUUUAAAAUUAUUUAUUGGGUUUCCAGGGCAGAAUUUGUGUUGAAUAUGAUGUUUGUAUGAAAAUUAAUAAAGGAAACCUCAACUAAAGUUAGAGUCAAGAAGACCUGUAGAGGGAGCUCUCGUGCCCUACCAUUCAUCAUCAGUUAGCCCAAACAGGAAGAGGGUACUUUGCAUCUCCAACAGAAAGUUGCCUACUACUUUACUACCCCAGGAAGAGAAAGGAAGAUUUUCUUCCUGCUGGCAACAAGCCCAGCCAAUAGAAACCACUGCCAGUUAACCAAUGAGGAGUCAUCGCCAUCCCUGAACUCUUGCUCUCCUCCAGUGAACUUUCAUUUAGAAUAGCCCCUCUCAACUCUCCCUUUUCUCUAUAAAAGCAAGCUCCCCUCCCUUGUUCUCUGGACAUACCUGUGGUUCACUGUAGUUUGUGUGCCCCCAACUGCAAUCUUUUGCUACUCCCAAAUAAACUCAUUUUGCUGGUAAAAUAACUGGCUAUUUUAUUUUAAAGUUGACAUUUGUUACGACGAGAGACAAGUUUUAGACCAUCUUUUAACAUUGUAUUAUCCUCUCUGUGUGAUCAUUGUAGCUCACAUAAUAGCUAACAAUUAGAAUGGCUACAUAGAAUAUGUCACUGAGUAGAAAAUGCAUAAAAGUUUGAUGUUCAUACAAGAAGUAGAGCCCCAGUGGGGCAUGGGCUAUAUUGGAAGUAAGAAUAAAAUUUAAGAUAAUAGGAGUGAACCAUUGUCUUUUGUCAAGGAUGUAAGAUUCUUGAGUUCCUUCAAAGCAGGCUGGAGUAUCUCCGAAGAGAACAAACCAAUUAUUAUACUAAGGGAGGCCCCAGUAUUAAUUUUCCCUUCUGAUGGGCUAGGUUUUGCUGGUAAGAUUAUAAUAACUUUAAUUGACAUGAGGUCAAAGUCUAGUUUUUAUAAGACCGAAAAGUCAGGAUUAAAUAAUGUGAGGUAUACUUAAGUAUUAAGGACUGUAUACUUAAGUAUUAAGAGACUGUAAAAGGGAAUCUAUCUUCUGAAGUGUUUAAUAAUUUAAUAAUCAAUAAAUUUUGUUGCCAAUAAGUCAAAUUCAGAACAGUAACUAUUAAUUUAGGAAAGACUGCCAGAGAGUUUGGGUUUUGAUUUAAGUGGCAAAAGACCAUAGGAAGUUAAAUGACAAAGAUAAGGAAGAUAUUACUGAGAAAUUUUUUAGUUAGUUAAUAAAGGAUAUCAAAGUGUAAUAACGGGCAACAUUAGUAGUGGAACAAAGGGUAAGAAAAGGGUGCUGAAGAAUCAGAAAAUUUAUUUUAUUUCAUGGUCUUGCAUGGAAUCUACUAUUGCAAUCACCAGCUUGUUCCAAAGUUUUGGGUGGGAAUUGUCUACAUAAGUAGUUGUCACUUAGAGAAAAUUCUUAAGAAUCCUCAGUUUAAGAUCCCUUAUGGAAUUGAUGUCCAAUAGUAAGGAAGUGAAGUAUGUCUUUAAAUUGAUAACUGUUACCCCAGUGAUCAAUACCUUGGAGUUUUACUGUUAUAUUUAAGUACCUGCUAAUUUACUUUUCAUUAAGGCUCAAGGGCAAUUUUUCUCUAGUGCCUUUUUCAGAAGAUCAAAUCUAUAGAUUUCAGAUCAUGCAGAGACUACUUGAGUGGAUGUUUCGGAAAUGCAGCUCAUACCAAUUAGUGACAAAGCCUUAGGUAUCAUAUAAGUCUACUGCAUUAAUUAGUCAUAUCAGCUUGAAACAGAGUAGAAUCUAUGAUGAAAGUAAUUCUUAAAAACAUGAGGUAGCCUGCUACUAAUUUUGGAGAUAACUUGUGGGCUCUACAGAAGAUUUCCAAUCCAUGGGCAGAUUGGCACUUCAAACAGGUAGAGACACAAGGUGUCUUAGAUGUGCACACUAUUACUGAUCUUAGGGUCCCAGUCCAAAACAGUGAGAUGUUCAGCUGACUCUUCAUGGAACCUCCAUUUCACUUCACUAACGUUCUCUAGUGUUUGUGAAGUACCAUGCUUGGCAUGUGAGAUAGCAGGGUACCAAAAAUAGACGAUAGAAUUUCCUCCAUCAAGAGGUUUGCACUCCAACUGAGAAAACACAAACACACACCCCAUAUUAAAUUGUAUCAUGAUUGUGAUUUGAAGUUGACUGUCUUUUUGGUGGACUGUGUUACAAGUCAGUGUAACCUUGCUCUUCAUGAACAUGGCACAGCUCUUCUCAGCAUUUAACACAAUUCCUUGUACAUGGUAAAAGGUCAUCAAACAGGUGUGAGUUUGAUUUGACGAGGCAAAUUCUGAACUGACAACCAAAUACUAAAUACUAAAUAUGAAAUACUAAAGUUAUGGGUUUUUUCUUCUUACUUUUUAAAUGUUUUGCCAUUCACAUCUUACAAGAAAACUUUAGGGCUUUCAUCUCUAUCUACCCCUGAGAAAUUAACUGAAAGUUAAUUAAAUAAAUAGAAUAUUGCCAACCACACAAGUCCUGUGAAGACACAGAGAAAGAUUGUUUUGUUCAUUGGGCUCUAGCCUAGAGGGGCAGCAACUCACUCGUACCUUCUUGUCAGUAGCAGUAAAUUGGCAGCCUCAACCUAUUAUAUUUCUCUUGGGUGGGGGCUCUUACACGUUCAGUAUUUGGAUGCAAGUUUCUUCCAUGGAAGUGUAACUAGAGAACUAAACUGCUACAUUAGGUUCAAAAUGUAGAGUCUCUCUUCAGAGAUUUUAACUGGUUCAUUUUCGUGUUGACAAAUACCAUCAGGGAAAACUGAGGCUAAUAGCAAAGAAGAAAAGGAAUUGCAUUUUAAAAAAAUAACUACAAUGGGACUCAUACUAGUGGUGUAGUUGCUCAGGGCCGAUAGAGUGAGAAGACAGCAUUAUUUUUCCAUCUUGAGGCUGAGACAGGAUGUGCCAUUGGGGCACACCUGGGCAGACAAGGACAGUUAAUGAGACUCACUAGAGUGGAACAGGUUUGGUAGAUGACUGUGGAGGUUCUUCUGAGUGGGCAAAGAAAAUGUCCAAGGGAAAUAGCAAGCUCAGCAGUGGUUCAGGCAACAAGUAGCAUUGCAGUGUAUAGUAGUUGCAGCAAGGUCACAACAACGAGGAACCGUGGCCCAUGGAUGAGAAUCAGCAGGAGUCAGUCACCCUCCAGAUUCACCCGAAGAGUGGCAGGCUCCAGUUACUCAAUGAGUGCUCAAGGACAAAGCCUGCGCUGUUCAAACAAAAGUGAGACUAAAGCUGAAACCUUGCCAUUGGGUACCUGUGGCGUGGAGAGCUGCUACUAAAUGAAAAGGCAGUGAGAAGAUCACUGGUCAGCGCUGGGAUAACUUGAUUUGGUGGCUGCUCCCUCUCCCACUAUGGAGAGCUGAGGUUAUUUGAAUAUGAUUCUCUGCACAUCAUGAUUGCCUCUGGGAACUGGGCAGAUCUGCACAUUCUAAUUGUGAAUCAAAGGCUUGGGAAAUGAGGUAGGGACUGUCAUCAUGUAGCUCAUGUACCUAAAAUGCUACACACCUAUUGAGAAAGAUCUAAUCUCUAUGCAUCCCACCUCCCACACACACAGCAUCACCAGUCGUCUCAUCAGAAUGAAAUAAGAAAACAGAACUAUGUCAUUAUUGUUUAAUAGCUUAAGAGUUCAAAAAACAUAAUCCAUGGGGCUGGCCCAGUGGCGUAGUGGUUAAGAUGCACCCUCCGCUUUGGUGGCCUGGGCUUCACUGGUUU